rnacentral:rRNA from 1 species
UAACCUGCCCAAGAGAUCGGGAUAACACCUGGAAACAGAUGCUAAUACCGGAUAACAACAGAUGAUGCCUAUCAACUGUUUAAAAGAUGGUUCUGCUAUCACUCUUGGAUGGACCUGCGGUGCAUUAGCUAGUUGGUAGGGUAACGGCCUACCAAGGCGAUGAUGCAUAGCCGAGUUGAGAGACUGAUCGGCCACAUUUGGGACUGAGACGACGGCCCAAACUCCUACGGGAGGCAGCAGGC